rnacentral:rRNA from 1 species
UACGUAGGGGGCGAGCGUUGUCCGGAUUUAUUGGGCGUAAAGAGCUCGUAGGCGGUUCGGCAAGUCGGGUGUGAAAUUUCGAGGCUCAACCUCGAAACGCCACUCGAUACUGCUGUGACUGGAGUCCGGUAGAGGAGUGCGGAAUUCCUGGUGUAGCGGUGAAAUGCGCAGAUAUCAGGAGGAACACCUAUUGCGAAGGCAGCUCGCUGGGACGUUACUGACGCUGAGACGCGAAAGCGUGGGGAGCAAACAGG